rnacentral:rRNA from 1 species
CGGUAAUACGGAGGGAGCUAGCGUUGUUCGGAAUUACUGGGCGUAAAGAGUACGUAGGCGGUUAUUCAAGUCAGAGGUGAAAGCCUGGAGCUCAACUCCAGAACUGCCUUUGAAACUAGAUAGCUAGAAUUAUGGAGAGGUUAGUGGAAUUCCGAGUGUAGAGGUGAAAUUCGUAGAUAUUCGGAAGAACACCAGUGGCGAAGGCGACUAACUGGACAUAUAUUGACGCUGAGGUACGAAAGCGUGGGGAGCAAACAGGAUUAGAUACCCUGGUAGUCCACGCCGUAAACGAUGAUAGCUAGCUGUUCGGGCUCUACGAGCUUGAGUGGCGCAGCUAACGCAUUAAGUUAUCCGCCUGGGGAGUACGGUCGCAAGAUUAAAACUCAAAGAAAUUGACGGGGCCGUGCACAAGCGGUGGAGUAUGUGGCUUAAUUCGAUGCAGCGCGAAGAACCUUACCUGGCCUUGACAUGCAUGUGGUAGAACCGUGAAAGCGGGACGACCUC